rnacentral:rRNA from 1 species
UACGUAGGUGGCAAGCGUUAUCCGGAAUUAUUGGGCGUAAAGCGCGCGCAGGUGGUUUCUUAAGUCUAAUGUGAAAGCCCACGGCUCAACCGUGGAGGGUCAUUGGAAACUGGGAGACUUGAGUGCAGAAGAGGAAAGUGGAAUUCCAUGUGUAGCGGUGAAAUGCGUAGAGAUAUGGAGGAACACCAGUGGCGAAGGCGACUUUCUGGUCUGUAACUGACACUGAGGCGCGAAAGCGUGGGGAGCAAACAGG